GUGGAGAGUCGGGGCUGGAACUUACUCCUGAGGGAGUUGCGGGCUCCGCGUCCGUGGCUUCUUUCAGUGCUUCCCUUGAGGGCUGAGUGGCGGUCUGCACCUACUCGUCCUCCAAACGAUGCAUCCUGACUUGUCUCCACACUUGCACACUGAAGAAUGCAACGUCUUGAUUAACUUGCUUAAGGAAUGUCACAAAAAUCACAACAUUCUGAAAUUUUUUGGUCAUUGCAACGAUCUUGAUCGGGAAAUGAGGAAGUGCUUGAAGAAUGAGUACAUGGAGAAGAGGAACAGGAGCAGGGAGCACGGCGCUGCGAUGCGAAGCAGGCUUUCUGAUCCUCCAGAGGAAACUGGAAGAUAGGCUCACUGGAUGCCUCGGCUGGGAGACCUGAAGGUGGCCGGUAGCUGAAAAAAAAUCCCUUCCUUUUGGCCUCUAGGACCCUUUGAAUGGAAAGCACUCUAUGAAGAACUGAGCCGUGGAGAAUCAGGAGAACAUGGGGUCCGGGACUUGCUGAACUUUAAUGCCAUGCACUGUGCCUCUGAAAGUUUCCUCCACUGCUGCCCUGAAUCUGUGUCUACCCAGGCCUGACUCGCCUCCUGCAAUAAAGGCUUAGCACAGUG
rnacentral:lncRNA from 1 species